rnacentral:rRNA from 1 species
CAAUAGCGUAUAUUAAAGUUGUUGCAGUUAAAAAGCUCGUAGUUGAAAAUCUGGGUUUGGUGGCCUAAGCACACGUUGCCAGGGCCAUCAGCCCAUUCUCACAAAGAUGUUGUUGCGCAUUAACUUGUGUAGCAGCGGAGAUGUGUCGUUUACUGUGAACAAAUUAGGGUGUUUAAAGCAGGCCUAAGCUUGUAUACAUUAGCAUGGAAUAAUAAGAUAUGACUUUGGUUGUAUUUUGUUGGUGACUGCCAAAGUAAUGAUUGAUAGAAACAGUUGUGGGUAUUCGUAUGAGCAUGUCAGAGGUGAAAUUCUUGGAUUUUGAUCAGACGAACAACUGCGAAAGCAUUUACCAAGGAUGUUUNCAUUAA